CUUUACUGCAUUUUUAUAUUGUUACUAAAAUUAAAUUGUGUAGCAUAAGUGGGAGUUUAAUUAAUUAAAUUAAUUAAACGUCAGUGAAAUACCACUCUGUUUAUAUUUAGAACUUUAUUUUCAAAAUAAUUUGAAAAGACAGUGUAUGAUUGGUAGUUUAACUGGGGCGGUUUCCUCCUAAAGAGUAACGGAGGAGUACAAAGGUAGAUUCAGACUGGAUUAUAAAUCAGUUAAGGAGUGUAAUGGUAAAAAUUUGCUUGACUAUAAGAUAGACAUAUCGAAUAGAAACGAAAGUUUGUCAUAGUGACCCGGUAAUUUUUUGUGGAAAAAUUAUCGCUCAACGGAUAAAAGGUA
rnacentral:rRNA from 1 species